UGCAAAUCGUUGUAUUCCGCUUAUAUUUACAUCUAACACAAUUUCCCAACUCAUAUGGAAACGAGGUUUGUAUUUGAUACUUAUGGAGAGGGGGGGUGCUUUCAUUUGCAGUUUAGGAGGCCUCCACCCACAACAUGUGAGCAACAUUUACAGCAAAGCACAGCUACACAAGCAAGGGAACGACAUGUAGAUGAAAAUGAUCACUUUUCUUUCCAGUCUCUAUUGAAUGAGAUGGAUUGAACAGGUGUAGCUAAUGUUGAUAUAAAUAUAUUUAAAGCGUAACUGAACAUUGUUCUGCGGACACAUCCCAGUGCGGGAGCUGACCUUUCAAAGCCAGUCCUUUCUGUACAAGCAGGUAUGUGCUGAACAUGACAAUUAUUAGUUAAAAGUUACUUGAACUUAUUAGGUGUUACACAUGGCAGACUUGUCUUCAUGUUGUGUAUGUGACUGUGUGUGGUUGUGUUAGGUGCAUCGAAUGAGCGGUGCUCUGGUGGCCGUGGGCUAGGGGAGACUGUCUCUUCCCAAACUGAAAGAGAUGAUGGAUGCACGCCGCUCUUUGGCAUAUCCUUCCAACAGGACUGCUCCACCUCAGGGCCUCUUCCUCACCAGGGUCAACUACAAAGAGUGCGAUCUCCUCCCGUUCACUCAUCCUUCCACAGGAGUCUCAGAUGAGAACCAAUGUCAUUCCCACUUUAUUGGUUAAUACUGCAUGUGUUUUAGGACAAGUUUCAUUGCUACUAAAAGCAUACACCAGUGCAUCCUAGCUAAAAGUACAGGUGCAAAACAAGGAGUGUAACACUAGCAAAGGUUUGUCUAGCAUGAAGAAAGUUGUUGACAAAGUAUACAUGCCAAUAAAACUGCAUCACCUAAAAGGAGUUGACAGAUAAUCCUGCUAGAAUAAAAGCAGACCACCACCAUGGUCACAUGAGGUUUGUUGAAGGUUCUCCCUUAAGUCCCCAGUUAGGAAACACUCACCCACUUUGAACAAUUGAUGUCUUAUUUUGCACUUCUCAGAAGUGACCGUAUGGAUAUAUCAAUCCCACUUUGAGUCAUUUCAAAGGCCGACACCUCACCUUUUGUCACGACCGUGUGGUACAUCCCUCACGAGAAUUCCUUAUUAUUGAAAAGACCAAGUCCUAUUCAGCCCCACAUUUCAGAUCACAAAGAAGAAAAAUCAUAAGUAUAAAUAAAGCACUUUAGUGGUGUAUUUAUCUCUCACAAUGGUCAAGAAGUGUGUCGUUUUUGCGUGAAUUAGAAAAGUCCAACCCUGGUUGAGGAGAGAAAACAAAUCAGACCUGAAUGCUCCAAAGCUUCAUGUGCAGAAUGUUUCAAAGCUAAAAGUUAGCACAAAGUGAUGGAGACAGAAAUGUGAUCUCUAUCGGCAGCCUUGGUGACACCCUGAAUCUGGUGUGGUGUGAGCACGGGUGUACCAGCAGCAGGA